CUUUAUUCCCUCUCCCAUAACUUAAGACAGACUGUUAUUCUGACUGACUCCCUUAGCUGCCUUUAUGCAAUUAAAGAUAAUCCUUUUCGUAGCAGAUUAAGAUCUUCUGUUAUUUUAAAGAUAAGAGAGGCUCUUUUCUCGUGUCAUCACAAGGGCAUUCAAAUCGCGCUAGUCUGGAUUCCAAGCCAUUCUGGCAUUCCUGGAAAUGAGACAGCAGAUUCGUGCGCUAAAGCUGCUGUACAGUCUGGUUGCAUCAAUCAUUUUGAAAUCUCCUCUCAAGACCUCCGUUCCCUAGCCAAAUCCUCGAUGGACAAAUCCUGGCACUCACAUUGGAAUUCAUCAAAAUCGGAGAAGGGUAAGUUUUACUCAUUAAUUCAACCUGACAUUCCAAGACGCCCUUGGUUCUUUCUUUAUAGACAUGCUAGCCGCAGAGUCACAUCCACAAUUUGUCGUUUACGUCUUGGACAUACGUGCUCACCUGUCCACCUGGUAAAAAUAAGAGUUCGCGACCACUCGCUGUGUGAAUGUGGCCUUGACGAAGGUACAGUGUCCCACAUCCUCUUCAAUUGCCCCAAACUCCUUCAUCCUAUCUAUGACAUCCUUCCCAGUGAAAUUCCUCGACCUAUUAAUGUUGAAUGUUUGUUAGCGUUUGUGUUUAGUCCCUUUUGUGCAUUUUUGUGUAAAUAUAUAGAAAUUAACAAAAUUAAGUUGUUGUGGUUUAACAACAAAAGCCUGACUAUUUUUUUUUUCUCUGUCUGCAAUAAUCAAUAUAACUUACAAUCUCAACCACACUGAUCAUUCUCCUUCGUGUCUUUUCUAUCCCACGUGACAUUGGCGAAAUCGACAGUGCC
rnacentral:misc_RNA from 1 species